UGCAGUCGAGCGGUUGAGGAAGCUUGCUUCCUGAUUCAGCGGCGGACGGGUGAGUAAUGCCUAGGAAUCUGCCUGGUAGUGGGGGACAACGUUUCGAAAGGAACGCUAAUACCGCAUACGUCCUACGGGAGAAAGCAGGGGACCUUCGGGCCUUGCGCUAUCAGAUGAGCCUAGGUCGGAUUAGCUAGUUGGUGAGGUAAUGGCUCACCAAGGCGACGAUCCGUAACUGGUCUGAGAGGAUGAUCAGUCACACUGGAACUGAGACACGGUCCAGACUCCUACGGGAGGCAGCAGUGGGGAAUAUUGGACAAUGGGCGAAAGCCUGAUCCAGCCAUGCCGCGUGUGUGAAGAAGGUCUUCGGAUUGUAAAGCACUUUAAGUUGGGAGGAAGGGCAGUCAGCGAAUACCUUGCUGUCUUGACGUUACCGACAGAAUAAGCACCGGCUAACUCUGUGCCAGCAGCCGCGGUAAUACAGAGGGUGCAAGCGUUAAUCGGAAUUACUGGGCGUAAAGCGCGCGUAGGUGGUUUGUUAAGUUGAAUGUGAAAUCCCCGGGCUCAACCUGGGAACUGCAUCCAAAACUGGCAAGCUAGAGUAGGGCAGAGGGUGGUGGAAUUUCCUGUGUAGCGGUGAAAUGCGUAGAUAUAGGAAG
rnacentral:rRNA from 1 species